rnacentral:rRNA from 1 species
AUUGAACGCUAGCGGCAGGCUUAACACAUGAAAGUCGAGCGAGCGGCGGACGGGUGAGUAAUGUCUGGGAAACUGCCUGAUGGAGGGGGAUAACUACUGGAAACGGUAGCUAAUACCGCAUAACAACAGAUGUGCCCAGAUGGGAUUAGCUAGUAGGUGGGGUAAUGGCUCACCUAGGCGACGAUCCCGAGCUGGUCUGCGAGGAUGACCAGCCACACUUGGACUGCGACACGGUCCCGACUCCUACGGGAGGCCUCAGUGGGGAAGUUUGCACAAUGGGCGCCAGCCUGCUGCAGCCAGGCCGCGUGUGUCAAGAAGGCCUUCGGGUUCUAAAGCACUUUCAGCGAUGAGGCGUUACUCGCACAAGAAGCACCGGCUAACUCCGUGCCCGCAGCCGCGGUAAUUC